AAAGAGUUUUUUCCUUCGCCUCUUCACUCUCUCUCGCCGUCUCUCCCAAAUGGAUUUAAUUUUUUUUUUUCUUUUUUGUCGACGAACUCGAAGAGAUGCAGAGGAAGAGAAGAAGGAAAAGAAUUUCCAUUAUGAUAAGUGGUUUUGGAUUCUUCUCUGGUCAUCAGCUUGAUUUUGAGAUGAUAAACUCAAAUCUCAUAAAUCGCCAAUGACUUAACCUCAGAAAUCUGUCCAAUUCAUCUCUCCGAUCAAGGAAUCAUCAAAGGCGAUCUAGGAGAACGAAGUUUGAUAAUUUGAUUCGUACUAUAAGAGUUCACUUAUUGGAUGGUACUAUAAGCGGAGUGCUAUUGUUGGAGAUGGAAUGGGGACUAUGGUGGCAAGUGACGUAUACGAAGGAACCUGAGAGGCAAAAGUGGAAGAUCUUACUGGAAUUAGAAAAACAAUCAAACCUCUGGAAGAAUCAGGGGCUUUAGUUCGCAGAAUUGAUGAAGAGCUACUGCGAGCUUUGGAUUCAUUUGUGGUUGUGGAAAAGGAAGGACAGAUUAUCGCUUGUGCGACUUUGUUCCCUUUCUUUAAAGAAAAGUGUGGAGAAGUUGCAGCUAUUGCGGUUUCAUCAGAUUGUCUCGGACAAGGACAGGUCCACUAUUAUGAAGAUGGGUCAACACCUACCGGAACUUGUGGUGUCUAUGUUUUUGGUGGAGAAAUGUCAGUUUACAAUCAAUCUUUAAUAUUUACUAAAGCUCAGAUAAAAAAUUCAAUCACUAAACUAUUGUAUCUUCGCUUUGGUCUCAAUAGUCGGAGUUCCAUGUCCACUAUUAUGAAGAUGAGUCAACACCUACUGGAACUUGCAGUGUGUUAGUGUUCUUGGUGCAGAAAGGAGGACAUGUUAAGUGUGUGUUCUUCACCGUUGAUAUUUGUUUGCCAUAUCUAUAACCAAAUAUAUGGUU